rnacentral:lncRNA from 1 species
UGUAACUCUGCGAGGGGAAAAGGCACCUCCUAGCACCCUUAACAAACAACAUUUCCCAGGAUUCUUUGGGGAAAGUCACAAUUGUUUAAAAAGUGGUACAGUUCUGCUUUGAAUGUGGAGGACAGAUGGCGCCAUAGUUGACUGGGAGUUCUUGUACAACAAGUCUACUUCCAAAAAGGUAGGCUUUUUGUGGGAUAUUUGCUCUGAUGCAAUGUCAUCUAACCUCCCCAUAAGCAAAUCAGGAUGAAUCCAUCAUACAGAGGUGUCUGAAAGCACCUUAACUGCAACACACUUCAACAGGGUUAGUUCUCACAUUCAGCUCCUUAUUUUUAAGGUACAAUGAUUACGUAGAGAUAUCACGUGAUGGACACGUACGACAGCCCCUUGAGUUCAGGGUAUUGUCAUCUCUGGCUAACGGAUGAGCGCAAUGAAUUUCUCACUGUCUCCAUUCUUUAUCCGGCUGUGGGAUCCUUUCACAUUGCUGACAUGAGGAAAUAAUAAUAAUAAUAAUAAUAAUAAUAAUAAUAAUAAUAAUUUAUUAUUUAUACCCCGCCCAUCUGUUGGGCGGCUCCCAACAGAAUUAAAAACACAAUAAAACACCAAACAUUAAAAACUUCCCUAAACAGGGUUGCCUUCAGAUGUCUUCUAAAAGUCAGAUAGUUGUUUAUUUCCUUGACACCUGAUGGGAGGGCAUUUCACAGCGUGGGUGCCACUACUGAGAAGGCUCUCUGCCUGGUUCCCUGUAACUUCACUUCUCACAGGGAGGGAACCACCAGAAGGCCCUCAGAGCUGGACCUCAGUGUCCGGGCUGAAUUUCCAACUGGUGUUUGUGUUUGUGUGUGUUGAGGGGGGGCAUUGUCCCAUGCUGAGAAGCGGGGUGGAACAAAGUGAAGCAGCACACUCUUUAUCUGGCUGUGCAGAUGUUAUUGGCCCAGAGAUGGAAAGAAGACAAAGUCCCAACCAGAGAAGAAUGGCAGAUUAAGUUGAUGGAUUAUGCCAAAAUGGCAAAAAUGACCGGAAGAAUCAGAAAUCAGGAAGACCAAAAUUUUAAUAAGGAAUGAGGAAAAUUUACAAUUUAUCUUAAAAACCAUUGUAAACAGCUAAAUCUGUUAGCAGGAUUAGAAUUACAUUUGUAGUUUAAUGAUGAGUUUUGGACAUAAUGGAGAUGUAAAAGAUUUGGAUGAUCAUAAAAGAUGCAGGGAAAAAUGAUUAACAAUAGGACUCACAAAGGGGAGAAGUCCCAGAGAUUCUUUGGAAUCUUGUUUUUAUGUUGUACAUUGGAUAUGUAAUUGUAAAACAUUAAUCUGAAAACCAAAUAAAUAAAUUUAUAUUUUUUUAAAGAAGCGACACACUCUGUGUGGGGGUUGAGAGCAGCCAAGCAGAUGAUGUAAGGAGGGAGAUGAGCAGUAAACCAAGUUCAAGAUGGGUAAAGGUGUGCGCCUACAAGAGACGAGAGAGGAUGAUUACUUCAGCAGGAACGCUUUAAGUAGACUGGAGAAGCAGGGGAAGAAGGGAGCAAGGAACAAAGGAGGGGGUCACAGCAGUGCCAGAUAAGCACAUUCUCAAGGCUUCUGUUAUAUUUGGAAGCACUGCAGCUCUGAAAAAGAUGUUGUGGAGUAUCAACCAAGAUAAAGCUUCACACACACACACACACACACACACACACAC